UCGCUCCUACCGAUUGAAUGGUCCGGUGAAGCGUUCGGAUGAGCGCGGGGAGGCGGUCCGCCGCUUUUCCGUGCUCAGAAGUUCGUUAAACCUUAUCAUUUAGAGGAAGGAG
rnacentral:rRNA from 1 species